rnacentral:rRNA from 1 species
GGGGAAUAUUGCACAAUGGGCGCAAGCCUGAUGCAGCGACGCCGCGUGGAGGAUGAAGGCCUUCGGGUCGUAAACUCCUGUCUGGGGGGAUGAAAACUGACAGUACCCCCGGAGGAAGCCCCGGCUAACUACGUGCCAGCAGCCGCGGUAAUACGUAGGGGGCGAGCGUUGUCCGGAAUUACUGGGCGUAGAGCGCGCGCAGGCGGCUUGUUAAGUCAGGUGUCAAAAUGCGGGGCUCAACCCCGUAUCGCACUUGAAACUGGCAGGCUUGAGUGCAGGAGAGGGAAGUGGAAUUCCUAGUGUAGCGGUGAAAUGCGUAGAUAUUAGGAGGAACACCAGUGGCGAAGGCGACUUCCUGGACUGUAACUGACGCUGAGGCGCGAAAGCUAGGGGAGCAAAC